GACGAACGCUGGCGGCGUGCUUAACACAUGCAAGUCGAACGGAAAGGCCCCUUCGGGGGUACUCGAGUGGCGAACGGGUGAGUAACACGUGGGCAACCUGCCCUCAGCUCUGGGAUAACUCCGGGAAACCGGGGCUAAUACUGGAUAUUCACUGCUCAUCGCAUGGUGGGUGGUGGAAAGUUUUUCGGCUGGGGAUGGGCCCGCGGCCUAUCAGCUUGUUGGUGGGGUGAUGGCCUACCAAGGCGACGACGGGUAGCCGGCCUGAGAGGGCGACCGGCCACACUGGGACUGAGACACGGCCCAGACUCCUACGGGAGGCAGCAGUGGGGAAUAUUGCGCAAUGGGCGGAAGCCUGACGCAGCGACGCCGCGUGAGGGAUGACGGCCUUCGGGUUGUAAACCUCUUUCAGCUCUGACGAAGCGAGAGUGACGGUAGGAGCAGAAGAAGCACCGGCCAACUACGUGCCAGCCGCCGCCGUAAAAC
rnacentral:rRNA from 1 species